GAUGAACGCUGGCGGCGUGCCUAAUACAUGCAAGUCGAGCGAACAGAUGAGGAGCUUGCUCCUCUGACGUUAGCGGCGGACGGGUGAGUAACACGUGGAUAACCUACCUAUAAGACUGGGAUAACUUCGGGAAACCGGAGCUAAUACCGGAUAAUAUAUUGAACCGCAUGGUUCAAUAGUGAAGGACGGUUUUGCUGUCACUUAUAGAUGGAUCCGCGCCGCAUUAGCUAGUUGGUAAGGUAACGGCUUACCAAGGCAACGAUGCGUAGCCGACCUGAGAGGGUGAUCGGCCACACUGGAACUGAGACACGGUCCAGACUCCUACGGGAGGCAGCAGUAGGGAAUCUUCCGCAAUGGGCGAAAGCCUGACGGAGCAACGCCGCGUGAGUGAUGAAGGUCUUCGGAUCGUAAAACUCCGUUAUUAGGGAAGAACAAAUGUGUAAGUAACUAUGCACGUCUUGACGGUACCUAAUCAGAAAGCCACGGCUAACUACGUG
rnacentral:rRNA from 1 species